rnacentral:lncRNA from 1 species
CCCGGGGAUGCUCCGGGGGCGGGCGGAUCGGCUUCUCGGGCUCCUCCCGCUGCCCCGGCGCCUCGGCCACGUCUGAAAGGGGUUCAUUGUCCCUGUCGGCAGCUCGGAGACGCGGCGGUGGCGGGAGGCGGCGACAAGGAGAUGUUUUUGAGCGGGUUACGCACGCCCGUGCCUGUGGCGGCGGACUAGCGGUGAUACCAGUUGCGGCGGAGCCGAUGUCGCACCGAUAGAGCUUUUUUC